AUUGAAUUUGUCUUUAGACUAUUUUAUGUCCUUUCAAAGGAUAGCAUAUGUAUUUAUUUAUAUUUUUUAUUGUUUAAGAUAUAUAUUAUGUAUUUUUUUAUUAACUAUAUGUAUAUGUUUAUAUUUGUAUCUUUUUGUAAUAGAGAGUUUAUGUUCCAUAUGUAUAUAUUUUAUGUCCCAUAUGUGUAUACAGUAUUGAAUUUGUCUGU
rnacentral:lncRNA from 1 species